rnacentral:rRNA from 1 species
AUACCCCGUGAAACUGACGGGUACCUGCAGAAUAAGCACCGGCUAACUACGUGCCAGCAGCCGCGGUAAUACGUAGGGUGCAAGCGUUAAUCGGAAUUACUGGGCGUAAAGCGUGCGCAGGCGGUUCGGAAAGAAAGAUGUGAAAUCCCAGAGCUUAACUUUGGAACUGCAUUUUUAACUACCGGGCUAGAGUGUGUCAGAGGGAGGUGGAAUUCCGCGUGUAGCAGUGAAAUGCGUAGAUAUGCGGAGGAACACCGAUGGCGAAGGCAGCCUCCUGGGAUAACACUGACGCUCAUGCACGAAAGCGUGGGGAGC